AAAAAAAAAAAAAAAAAGCACAAUUUUUGUAAACUUUGAAGCUUGUUUCUUUUUUUUCUUUUCAUAUCUUACUGAUUAAUAUUGUCAUGCAUAGUAGCUGAAGAGCUCUGAUAUUUGAUAAAUUUUGCAUAAGAAAAAAGAGAGAAACCAUAUCAGAGUCCAUUGAUUACUAACCCAGAAGAGAGUAGGACCAAUCUGUGCUAGACGACAGAUAGUGAAGUCAAAUUAAGCAUCUUCCAAGUUGAUUUGGAUUUUUCAUAUUUUAUUGGAGAUGUUACAUAUGUAUUUGGAAUUUAUUGCCACUGCCUCAAAACCUGCCCCAUCAAAUUGAAAUCUUAUUACAG
rnacentral:misc_RNA from 1 species